CAUGAUAAUUUCUAUUUCUGGUUAAUGAAAUAAGAGCAGUGUGGUUUAAGAAGCUAGGUUCAAUUUGAUUUUCGUAUGUGCAAUUUUAAUUUCUUGUCUUUAGUGUAGUUUCUGUUGUGGUGUGUUAUUUGUGGUUAGUGUUUGAAUAUUAUAGUAGUUUUGAUUUGUGGUUUAAGAUUUUCAAUCCAUAGUUUUAAUGAAUGUACUGUGUGUACAUAUGUUUUGUAUUUUAGUGCAAUUUUAUUAAGUUCUGGAAUGGUCAUGGAGGGGAUGAUGUGAAAAGGACCAAUAUUGAUGUUUGAUUUAUUGAUGUUCAUAU
rnacentral:lncRNA from 1 species